rnacentral:misc_RNA from 1 species
UCUCCGUAGGUGAACCUGCGGAGGGAUCAUUACCAAAGAUGGCGGGCCUCCGGGCCCCCGUCCCCAACCCUUUGUUGACCAAAAAACCUUUUUGCCUCGGGGGCAGAGCGUCCGCCGCCGCCCCCGGAGGAUCACCGAACGCUGUCUCUUACGUCAGAGUAUUGAUUAAAUGAAUCAAAACUUUCAACAACGGAUCUCUUGGUUCUG